rnacentral:lncRNA from 1 species
GACUGAAUUCCAACAACAACUAUGAGUGAGCCCAGAAUUGGAGCCUUCAGAUGAGACCACAACCCUGGCUAACACCUUGAUUGCAGCUUUGUGAGAGAUCCUAAGCCAGAGGCCCCCAGCUAAGUGAUACAUGGAUUUCUGACCCACAGAAACUAAACCAUCCAUUGCCUCUACCAGAGAGCUGGGACGAUGUGGUUUGCAUGUUGAGAUCAAGAAUCCAGGAGAACCAGCCAAGGUGUCUGCAGAAUCUACCAGCUCUAAAUUGUUGGAAAUGCUGGUGGAAUUGAAAUCCCCUUAGUGAGAUGCAGCAACUUUCAUCUGAGACAUAUGCUGUAAUUAGCAGUUUCUUAAUUACCGAGUGCUUGAAGUAUGUCAUACUGGGAAGGGGUGGCGGGAAAAUGCUGCUGCGCUUGAAGACACAAGGUGACCACGUUCUCUCAACCAGCUUGAGACCCCAGGUUCACUCUUACUGCAGCACAAACACACUGUGGCCAAGAGAAGACCAUUCAAAGAAGUCUCUUGUUUCUGCCAAGAACUCUGAAAAGUUAAAAAUAUUUAUCCUGCUUGCAAGCUAACAACUUAGCCUGCUGUAGUUUCUUAGAUGCAGGCAGAAAACAUGCAACUCCUGGGUCAGAGACAAAAGGCUUGUAUUACUCAAGGCACAGCAGGCAGCAUGAUCAUUGUGUUUGCUGCAGGUGCCCUCUCUCCAAGUUCCCUGGGAGUGAUGGGAAGCAGCCUGGGUAGAUGCUGCAGCCUCAGGAGGUUUGGAGCACAGCUGAGUUUAAGAAAUCCCAAACUUGUAAAGAGGGCAGUCUAACCUUUGCCUAGAGAGAGACAUUAUCUUAUAGUGGUCAGGAAACAAACCUGCCCUCUGCCCCAAGGGAGCUACUAUCUCUAUCUUCCAAGGCCUUUCACUAUACAAACAUCCGAAAAAUCGUCUGAAACAAAAGCUACUACAGAAUGUGCAGAAAUGUAGGAAACUCAUAGAGAAGUACCUCCUGGUAAUUGCAGGAAAGAAUUUGGCAAAACUGGUUCACUGAUACUACAUUACUUACAUUUUAAAUAUGAAAUACUGGCAGUUAUUUUCAACUAAAGGCAAAUAUAAAAACACUGUCAUUGGCUCAAAUAAUAGCAAACAAAGAGUAGCAUGGGAUUUU